rnacentral:rRNA from 1 species
UCCAGACUCCUACGGGAGGCAGCAGUGAGGAAUAUUGGUCAAUGGGCUUACGCCUGAACCAGCCAAGUCGCGUGAGGGAAGACUGCCCUAUGGGUUGUAAACCUCUUUUGUCAGGGAGCAAUUGGGUCCACGCGUGGGCUUAGCGAGAGUACCUGAGGAAAAAGCAUCGGCUAACUCCGUGCCAGCAGCCGCGGUAAUACGGAGGAUGCGAGCGUUAUCCGGAUUUAUUGGGUUUAAAGGGUGCGUAGGCGGAAUAUCAAGUCAGCGGUAAAAAUUCGGGGCUCAACCCCGUCGUGCCGUUGAAACUGGCGGGCUGGAGUUGGAGAGAAGUACGCGGAAUGCGCGGUGUAGCGGUGAAAUGCUUAGAUAUCGCGCGGAACCCCGAUUGCGAAGGCAGCGUACCGGCUCCACACUGACGCUGAGGCACGAAAGCGUGGGUAUCGAACAGGAUUAGAUACCCUCGUA